rnacentral:rRNA from 1 species
UACGCAGGGGGCUAGCGUUGCUCGGAAUCACUGGGCGUAAAGGGUGCGUAGGCGGGGCUUUAAGUCAGGGGUGAAAUCCUGGAGCUCAACUCCAGAACUGCCUUUGAUACUGAAGAUCUUGAGUUCGGGAGAGGUGAGUGGAACUGCGAGUGUAGAGGUGAAAUUCGUAGAUAUUCGCAAGAACACCAGUGGCGAAGGCGGCUCACUGGCCCGAUACUGACGCUGAGGCACGAAAGCGUGGGGAGCAAACAGG